CCGGGGCCCUUAAUGCUUCGUAAAGAAGCUUUGCGUUCUACGAAUCUUAAGAGACCCCAGGA
rnacentral:pre_miRNA from 2 species